UGGAUUGACUGAACCAUUCCAGAAUGUUGAUUUUGUUCAUCAUUGGCCAUUCUUAUGUAGAUUUUAACGAAUGUUUGCGAUUGUUAUCAGAUUGAAACAACCAAUUGUGCUGUUAACAAAGUGUUUUCUGCAGAGAGCUUCAGAUGAUCAAUAUCUUUUGAUCAGCAAAAGAAUCCAUUGUGCUAUGUAUGGGUCAAAUCAUCAGUUCCACUUAAUGAAAAGAAACUCCAUAGCACAAUACUCCUGCCACCAUGUUCAUAGUAAGGAUUAUAUAUUUUUUUUCUACAAAUGCCUCAUUCUUUUUUCUUCAAACAUAUGUGUCAGCAAGGCCAAAC
rnacentral:lncRNA from 1 species